CCCCUUUUCAUUUGCGCCCGCAUCCCUAUAUGGGUCCCUGCCGGUUUCGGCCGGCUAUGGUGAUAAACUGCGGCGUGCAAUAGGCACAGCGGACCCGGGGGCGGUACCCGGCGGCUCCACCAUCACUACCGUGUCUUUCGGGAUGCGGGCCUUGUUGUCGCAAGGGUGUUGAUGGGGCCGAACUAGGAUCGACGUGUGUUGAAAAGCGCUGUUUUUGCCCGGGCUGAGUAACCCGUUCAAGGCUCAAAACUCACAAGUGCCAACGACAACGAAGCACUUGCUCUCGCCGCAUAAUUCUAAGGGCUAACGCCCUGAAGUUAUAAAGCGAAAGCACGGUUCGGACCGAACCGGGUAACAGAAUCGGAAACCGGGGGCUGGGGGCGAGCCUAGCAACAGAAUCGCCCCACU
rfam:Novosphingobium subterraneum strain DSM 12447 NJ75_contig000027, whole genome shotgun sequence.